rnacentral:misc_RNA from 1 species
AAAGUGAGAUUAGAGAAUCAAUAACGAAGAGAAAAGAAAAGACAGUGAUGGCGAUGUAAACUAAAGAAAAGGAAUGAUCUUUCGGAUUUGGGUUGUUUUGGGUGGUUGAUUUUGUCAUUCGAUCAAGCACAGAAGAAGAGACUGAGCUUAGGCUCGGAUUUGAGGUAGAGGAGGUGAAAGAUUCCCAUGCACCAAUCAUAAUGAAACAUCCACCCGCCAUGGUUAGAGAGAAAAGCCCCAUUCUUGAAGAAUUUGUGGUGGGUUCUUCGUCUCUCUUUGAGAUUAAAUUUCAGAAAGAACUCAAAUUUGAGAAAUGUAUUAUAUGCUUAGUCAUGGUUUUGAAAGUUCAGCACGGGUGCCUUGAGAGUUUU